GAUGAACGCUGGCGGCGUGCCUAAUACAUGCAAGUCGAGCGAACAGACGAGGAGCUUGCUCCUCUGACGUUAGCGGCGGACGGGUGAGUAACACGUGGAUAACCUACCUAUAAGACUGGGAUAACUUCGGGAAACCGGAGCUAAUACCGGAUAAUAUAUUGAACCGCAUGGUUCAAUAGUGAAAGACGGUUUUGCUGUCACUUAUAGAUGGAUCCGCGCCGCAUUAGCUAGUUGGUAAGGUAACGGCUUACCAAGGCAACGAUGCGUAGCCGACCUGAGAGGGUGAUCGGCCACACUGGAACUGAGACACGGUCCAGACUCCUACGGGAGGCAGCAGUAGGGAAUCUUCCGCAAUGGGCGAAAGCCUGACGGAGUAACGCCGCGUGAGUUAUGAAGGUCUUCGGAUCGUAAAACUCUGUUAUUAGGGAAGAACAAAUGUGUAAGUAACUAUGCACGUCUUGACGGUACCUAAUCAGAAAGCCACGGCUAACUACGUG
rnacentral:rRNA from 1 species